GACGGAAGGUGCAAGCGUUGCUCGGAAUCACUGGGCGUAAAGGGUGCGUAGGCGGCCGUGCAAGUCUGGCGUGAAAGCCCCGGGCUCAGCCCGGGAAGUGCGCUCGAAACUGCGCGGCUCGAGUGCCGGAGGGGAGAGUGGAAUUCCUGGUGUAGCGGUGAAAUGCGUAGAUAUCAGGAGGAAUACCAGUGGCGAAGGCGGGUCUCUGGACAGUUCCUGACACUGAGGCACGAAGGCCAGGGAGCAAACGGG
rnacentral:rRNA from 1 species